UCAAGAGAGGAAGAAAUCAUAUAUUAGAUAAAAUUGUUGGAUUAGAGUAAUGAUAUUACAUGAGGAACAUCAUCCAAAUGUGAUGUGCAAUCUAAAUAUUUUCUUCACAACAAAACUUAAACUCGAAGCAUCCAUCAACAUUUGUACAACUUAUCUAAAACUUAACGAGGAACAUCAUCUAGCAAGAACUCCAUCCCUACAACUUAAUUAAAACUAAAAGCCUCCAUCAUCAUCAUCAUCAUCAUCAUCAUGAACAGGAACAUCGUCUUCAUCAUUGUUGUAUAGUUUCCAUGCACCCAUAUAAUCAUCCAUUUAUCUUUUGAAUCUACAUACAAAAAACACAAAUGAACUAUUAACAUACAAUGCAUUGACAUGAUGCAAGAAGUGAUAGAGGCAGGCUACUAGCAUUGUAUCUACAAGUAUAUCUCUAUAUGCAAACUCCAGAAGUUCAUCUACACCGGCUGAGAAAUGAGGACUUUCUCUAGGAAAUCGCAAUAGUAAUUUGGUGGAUUCUAAAUCCAUUGCACACUACAUAAAAAUAACAAAUAUUAUUACAGUUGUAACCAUUAAUGAACUGCAAAAGCUUAGAUAGUAAAUGUUUUAUUUGUGAUUUAAGUUCCUAUCAUGGUACAACAGAAAAUCACAAUUAUAGUGUUUUUAGACAAUGCAAGCAUCUUCCUCCCAGCCUUUUCAACAUAGAAGCUUUUCAACAUAGAAGGCAAAAGUUUCUUCGAACAUUGUAAAAAAGGCUAGUAAGGUUAUUCUACUAUGCAAAGUAGUCAUCAACCCAUGCACGGGCUAACAAUCUUGUGUUUCACAUUGGUAGCUAGAAAAAACUAUUAUGGUGACCAGAAAUUGUUAGUUAGAUGUCACAUUAGUAAUGGUUUCUCCUUAUGCUAUUUCUCUUCAAGAAAAAUGACGAAAUUGGAGAGAAAUUGUGUAUGCUGCUUGGAGACCAGGUGCCACCCCAACUGAUGACGUUAGAGAAAGGAGGUGCUGCAGAAUAAGUCAAAACUUAUUAGGACGCUUGGUCACUUCAAAGUCAUCAUACAAUCAAACAAAAACUACCCAAAACGAUUCCUGAGUAAAAUUUGAUAGUGAAUGCGUAAUUAGCAACACACCCUUGAUGAGAAAUUCAUACAUGUAGAAAUUAUAUAAGACCAUCACGACAUAGUUAAUAGGGAUUAUGUUGGAUAUCAAGCCCAAGAUUUAACAAUAUUUAGCAUAUAUUAGUGACAUGUGCUGCAAAAUUCUUAAUGUAUAUAUACUACUGGAUAUUUGACUCUAGAUACAUAUCAAAUAUGUUGUAUAUUUUACACGAUAGGAUUUCUCUGAGCCAUGUACAUUGUCUCUUUUUUUAACUAAAGUACACUGUCAGCACCCUAUAAAUCCGUUGCAUAUAUAUAUACCAAAGGACACGUCAAUGAGUUUAAUUAUGUUAUCACAUGGUAGAAAACUCUAGCACAAUAAUAGGAUAACAUGUGAAGUUGUAGGAGAAAAAGAGAGAUGAAAUCGACAUGUGCAAACUUCUUUCCAUAAAUACUUGUGCAUGGCACAAAUAUUACUUCCACCAGUGCUAGGUAAGGCUAGAAGGAUUGUUAAUUGAGAGGUUGGCAAGCAAUAUGUAUUCUUGCCACGACGGGUUAACAUGCAUGCCUGUGUGUUGCUAGCGCUCGCUAGGAUCUUAAUUAAGGAAGCCAUAAAAUUAUUUUCGCUAACCUUCUACAUGACCUAUUAAAUUAUCACCACCACAUAUAAUUAUUGAUGUAUUUGUCCUUCCUCAAGGGAAGCAUUCUUAAAGCCUCAAAACAUUGUUAUUCAUGAGUUAAGCCAAGACCAUGUCCACCAGCUUCUAAUUGGCACACUCAUUCUCAUGACGGUGGUCUUUGUCUGAUGUAGUUAGGAGAAGACACUGAAAAUGUUUGGUGAGCAAUUUCUUAGAAUUACAGACCAUAGACACAAAGAUUCAUAUGUCAUUAGAAAUUGCAAUAAAUUAGAUCUAAGUUUUAAAGAGUCAAUAUGAUCAUAGAAAACACUAAGUAUGCGUGACGGCCCAUAUAUUUUCACAUUUAACGAAACAAACUAUGAAGAAACUGACCUUAUCAGAUCAAAUGAGGUAGAUUUGGUAAUUGUUAAGUUCAUCAUUUGCUCUGCUUGCAUGCCACAUACCUGCACUGGUACACAGUACUAAUUAGCUGAAGUAAACAUUUGUUUUCUUUGUAACUGAAAAGAAACCGCGAUAAUUUGUGUGCUGCAAAUACAAUAGGACAACAUAUGUUUUCUCUGAUACGUAGUGACAACAUUUUAUAAAUUGCAUAAAUAAUUAUAAUUUGGGAUGUACCUCAAAAUAUUAAGAAAGAUACAGAAAAAAAAUCUAAACUUUAAGGACCAUCAUAAUUUUUAUGCUAACAGCUUUUGCUUUCGCACAUGUAUCACACCGGCUGACUAUAUGUACGCAUAAUUAUAUAAACUUCUUAGUAUAAGGAAAUAGCCACCAUGCUGAUAUUAAACUAAUCGUGGACCUACACCCAUGUAGGCAUUGGCACACAAACUCAAGCAUCACACAUUCAAGUUAAUUAGGCUACUGUUAUGCAUGCAAUUUAGUAGACCUAGUGCUUACAUCAUGGGUGGAGGCAGGGCAAUGCGACCAAUUAGUCCACCAAGCAUAUUUGAUUAGAAAGAAGUGAGCCCAUUGCGUAACAACUAACAAACAUCAAAGUUAUGGUGGUUAGACCUGAGUAGAUGGCUAUAGGUGAUACAACAGUCGCGGAUGUUUUCACUUCUACAACUCAUUGGAACAAAUGAGCAUGACUACCUACUUGAGUUGUAAUACUGUGGUAAAAAAUAGGAUCUUCCCAACAGAAAUAUGACUGUAUGACAUAGUGACCGAUCAGGCCUAAACAACAAGAGGCUUCAGCUGGAAUCUUUCUGUAUCUUUAAAAAAAUCUAUGACAAACUGUAUCAAUUCAGUCACAACAAGAGGCUUCAGCUGGAAUCUCCCCUUCGCACCAAUUAGCUCUAAUUCAAC
rnacentral:lncRNA from 1 species